UUUAUUAUUAUUAUUAUUAGUGAGUUGGUUUAUUUUUAAUUAAAGUAAGUAUAUUUGAUUUUAUUAUUAAUUUUAAAAAAUUUUGUUUAUGAUAGUUAAUUAGUAUCGAAUGAGAAUUAAUUAUAAUUUUAAUAAGAAGAAUUAAUUUUGUACCUUGUGUAUCAGGGUUUGUUAAUUUAUUUUAAGGAUUUAGUUUUUCGAAUAAUAGGGAGUUACGUUUAUAUUUAUUUUUUCGUUGAAUAGAAAUUUUUUAUAUAAUUGUGGUAGUGAUAAGUUUUCGUUCUGUUUAUAUCUAAUUUUAAAAGAAAAUGAUUUAAUCGUGUAAGUAUAUAUGAGUCUGAGUUUUAUAGGUCGGGGCUUUGAUAUUUAUUAAUAAUUAUUGGGAUAAGCUAGUAAUUAAAUUUUUAUUUUUUGAAUAUGGAUUGUAAAUGUUUAGGAUUAGAAAUUUUCAUUUUUUAGUUUGUAAGAAUUAAUUUAUGUAAUUGUUUGAUUUAUGUUUUUAAUAGGUGUUUAUUUUGAUUUUUUAUUGAAUUUUAAUGUUGAAUUAAUAAUGAUGAAAUUAGUAAAUUAUUAUUUAUAGAUUAAUUGAGUGUAGAGAUUAAAUUAAGGAAUUCGGCAAAAUUAGUUUUCGCCUGUUUAUUAAAAACAUGUCUUUUUGAUUAUAAUUUAAAGUCUGACCUGCCCAAUGUAUUAUUAAUGGCCGCGGUAUUUUGACCGUGCUAAGGUAGCAUAAUAAUUAGUUUUUUAAUUGAGAGCUGGAAUGAAUGGUUCAACGAAAUAUUAUAUGUCUCGAUUUAAAUUUUUGAAUUUUAUUUUUAAGUAAAAAAGCUUAAAUUUUAUUAAAAGACGAGAAGACCCUAUAGAACUUUAUAUGCUGUUUUUUAGUGGUUUUAUUUAUUAAUGAGUAGCUUAUUGUGUUGGGGUGAUAGAAAAAUUUAAUUAACUUUUUUUUUAUUUUAAUACUGAUGUGUAAAUUUUUGAUCCAAAUGGUUGAUUAUAAGAUUAAGUUACCUUAGGGAUAACAGCGUUAUUUGUCUUGAGAGUUCAAAUCGAAAGAUGAGUUUGCGACCUCGAUGUUGGAUUAAAAUUAAAUUAUGGUGUAGAGGCUAUAAUAUUAGGUCUGUUCGACCUUUAAAUUUUACAUGAUCUGAGUUAAGACCGGUGUAAGCCAGGUUGGUUUCUAUCUUUAAAUAAGGGUUGUAAUUUAGUACGAAAGGACCAAUUA
rnacentral:rRNA from 1 species